ACCUCGAUAGCUCAGUUGGUUAGAGUGUGGUGUUGAUCACGCCAAGGUUUCAGGUUCAAUCCCUCUCUGGGACA